rnacentral:tRNA from 1 species
GAGGUUGUAGCUCAGUGGUAGAGCACUUGCCUAUCAAGCGGGAGGCACUGGGUUCGAUCCUUAGCACCACA